rnacentral:tRNA from 1 species
UGGUGUGGCUCAGUCGGUAGAGCAGCUGAUUCGUAAUCAGCAGGUCGCAGGUUCAAGUCCCGUCACC